UAGAACUUGGAAUGUAAUGAGGAUCAUGUUGUGAAUAAGCACCAGAAGAAAACACACAAACCUGUUUCUGAAACUUUAAAGGAUCCAGAUGCUGAUGUCAUCAAUGAAGAUAGUGAUGAUCAAAAUGAGGGUGGAAUGUACUUUGGGGAUAUUUUCAUCCCCCCAGCGCCAGCCCCAUCUCUUACAAUAGAUGCCAGUGGCCCAAGAUUAGUUAUCACCCACAUUGAAAACGUCUACUUAAAAAGUUAUGCUGGGAAACAAGUGUUGGGUCGAUUUCACGAGAGUUUCACUUCCAUCAUUGGUCCUAAUGGCAGUGGGAAAAGCAAUGUCAUUGACUCCAUGCUGUAUGUCUUUGGUUAUCGUGCCAACAAAAUUCAAUCCAAAAGUGUAGCAGUCCUUAUACUUUAUUCUGAAAACCAUCCAAAUGAUUAAAGUUGCUCGGUAGUUGUCCACUUUCAGAUGAUUGAAGAUAUUAAUGACGAUGAAUUUAAUGUGGAUGAUCCUGGGUCACAAUUUGUUGUCUCUAGAACAACUUUCAAGGAUAAUUUGUCAUUUUAUCAAAUCAACGGAAAACUAGUCCAGUUUAAACAUGUUGCCAAACUUUUGAGAAAUCAAGGUAUUGAUCUUAAUCACAACAGAUUUCUCAUCUUACAAGGAGAGGUAGAGAAGAUUGCCAGAUGAAACCAAAAGCCCCUAAUAAGCAUGAAGGUGGCAUGCUUGAAUUUUUAGAAGACAUCAUGGGAACUUCAAGGCAGUUAUUGUUUAUAAUCAAAUUAUGGUAAAAUGUUAUCACUAUUUGCUGGCCAUUGAUAGGCCUAUAGGUACAAACAGCCGACCGAGGAACUCAGUCAAAGAGUAGAAUCGCUAAACACCCUAAGAACUGAGAAGCUUAAUCGCGUUAAGCUGGUGGAGAAUGAAAAGGAUGAACUUGAAGCCCCGAAGAACGAAGCAGUGGCUCAUAUCAAGUUGGAAAUGAUCUCGCACAGUUUAAAUACAAUCUCCAGCAACUCUACACUCAUCAAUCCUUGAAAGUGAUCGCCGACAGUGAACAAAAGAAAGAAAAGGUGAACGAAGAAAUGGGCGAUUUGAAGACCAGACUAGAAGAAUUGACUUUGUUCAAAUCCGAAAAGAAUAAAGAGGUUAAGCAAUACUCCAAAGAGUACGAAGAAGCCAGCCGGAAGCUAGAGAAAUCCGUGAAAAAAAUGGCGAGUUUGAUUAAAGAUGACGAGAAGAUGGUUGAAGACUACCGUCUCAUCAACACGAGCCGCAAAAAAGCCAAAGAAACCAUCGUGAGCGAGAAGGCCAAAUUUGAAGAGUUGAGCAAAAUCCCCGAAAAAAAUACAAAAGAAA